UACAGAGGGGGCAAGCGUUGUUCGGAAUUACUGGGCGUAAAGGGCCAGUAGGCGGCCAACUAAGUCGGAUGUGAAAUCCCCAGGCUCAACCUGGGAACUGCAUCCGAUACUGGAUGGCUUGAAUUCGGGAGAGGGAUGCAGAAUUCCAGGUGUAGCGGUGAAAUGCGUAGAUAUCUGGAGGAAUACCGGUGGCGAAGGCGGCAUCCUGGACCGACAUUGACGCUGAACGGCGAAAGCUAGGGGAGCAAACGGG
rnacentral:rRNA from 1 species